GAUGAACGCUGGCGGCGUGCCUAAUACAUGCGAGUCGAGCGAACAGACGAGGAGCUUGCUCCUUUGACGUUAGCGGCGGACGGGUGAGUAACACGUGGGUAACCUACCUAUAAGACUGGGAUAACUUCGGGAAACCGGAGCUAAUACCGGAUAAUAUUUCGAACCGCAUGGUUCGAUAGUGAAAGAUGGCUCUGCUAUCACUUAUAGAUGGACCUGCGCCGUAUUAGCUAGUUGGUAAGGUAACGGCUUACCAAGGCAACGAUACGUAGCCGACCUGAGAGGGUGAUCGGCCACACUGGAACUGAGGCACGGUCCAGACUCCUACGGGAGGCAGCAGUAGGGAAUCUUCCGCAAUGGGCGAAAGCCUGACGGAGCAACGCCGCGUGAGUGAUGAAGGUCUUCGGAUCGUAAAACUCUGUUAUUAGGGAAGAACAAACGUGUAAGUAACUGUGCACGUCUUGACGGUACCUAAUCAGAAAGCCACGGCUAACUACGUG
rnacentral:rRNA from 1 species